ensembl:lncRNA
CUGAGCAGCUCCUAGGCCGUCCCAGAAGUACUGUGGCAGCAAUUCUAUGUUGACACUAGGUGGCGCUCAUGUGCUACUGCAAGAGGCUCUAAUGCGCAAAAGUGUUUGGCAAACGAAAUUGCCUUCCUUGUGUGUAAGCUCAGAGACUGGUCCCGUGAGCGGCAUGUGCCUCUUGGGAUAUAGAUUAUUUCAGCCCCCUUCUCUUUCUUUAACUAUUUUUUUUAAAGUGCUGUUUUUGUUUGUUGUUUGUUUUUUUUUUUUUUUUUUUUUUUUUUUUUUUUUGACUUUGGCCUCCUGGCUAAGCAAAAGCUCUAGGGUUAGGUCAAGUGCAAAUACUAUUUCUUCAUUGGCUGCUCCAUGGCUUUGGAAGCCAGUGAGGCGACCGGGAUCCUCUCGAGUGAAGAGUGUUGCCACGUGUGUAAGACUGAGCCUUGGAGCAACCCCCACAUCAACUUCGACUCUGCUUUGAGAGCCUGAAACUCCUUGACGUGCCCUUGGGGGAUGUAACUUGAGCGGAUUAUAUUUGAGCUUGGUUUUGGAGAAGUUAGGUUACAUAUUGACUCCCAAGAACAUGAGCAUCACUUCUCCAGUUUCACUCUGGCUCUGAGAAAUUGAGAGCAGCUGAGGCUAUUUUUAGAGAUUACGGUUCAUCGGAGACAGCCAUCUACCGGUCUGAUGCCUUUUUUUAUGACAUCACCCCUGAAGGGCUGCAUAGCUUUAUGCUUAGAAAUACCCCUCGCUCUGCAACAGAGUCUGAGGCCUGCAGUGUACCGAUCCUUCACUCCGUAAAUCACACGAUGGCCAUUGUCCAGAGGCAAUAAGGUCUGACCUGGUGUCUCAGCCGUGGAAUGGAUGUCACAUGGUCCCUCCUAGGCUUAUGAAAAUGAGAGGAGCUUAUUCUAAGGUCCACUUCCUGCACUGGAGGUCAAUUCUGACUCUGUCAGGAAGAUAGCUGGAGUGCAGGAAUCACCCCAAAUCUCUGUCCCUUCAGGCUUAGGCUUUCUCCAACAUCUGAACUCUCAGCAAGGCACAGUUGUCACAUGCGCUUGAGUCAGCACGUCUAUUAAUGUGUGAAUUCACUCACAGAGCACAGGGCCACCAUACUGUCCCAGUCUGCACCAUGCUGGCACCCUCCCUACUGUGUUAGGAACUCUGCUGUUUAGCACACAUCCCCAAGUCUUCAACUUCUAACACGCAGCAAUGAGCUUGGGCAAUCAGCUUGUGCCUGCUGCCUAUUAUGCUGGCCAUAUUUGAAAAAAUUGGCAGCAGAUUAUUUUCCAAUCAAAAUCAAAGUCCACGGCCAAGGCUAGGGGACCUGAGUGAAGGCAAUUUGACACUGUUGAUUAAAGACACUUAGAAAAUCGGGCAUGGCAGGCCAUAAAUACUUGGGUGGAGGUUCUGAAAAGUUGGCAGACAUUGGUUUGAUUUGAUAUGCUCCCUGUCUGCUUCUUCCAGCUCUUCUCAUCACUUCUCCUGACUACCAGACUUUCAGCCAACUCCAUGUUCAUUUCUCAGCUCCUCUGUUGCAACAGAAUCCUCACUUUUAGCUGAGUUUGUGACUUGAUCUUCCCAAUGGUGGCCAGGGUGACCUGGAUAGGUUAUGGCCCCCAGCAGGGUUAAUGAGAGCACCUUUGGCUUCUUUCCUUGCUGAUGGUGGGGGACUUCUUGCCUUCCUUCCUUUUCCCUCUUCUCUGGUUUGGAGAGGGAGAAGGUGAUGAGCUGUCUUGGGCCACAGAGAUGAGAGAGACAUCCUAUUGGGGUCAGGGCAACAGGGUGGCAGAAUCAUGUGUCCUCAGUGUUGUAAAACUUCUCUCUAAGCCCAGUACUAUAAAGGGAAGGUUUUCUCUGCUUAGCCUGGUCUCAUUCGACCAGUUUCCUCUGCCUACCGGGUCCUGCAGCUGCUUAUAAGAUAACCACUGAGAGACUUAAUAUGUAUUUAUAAUUGUCUGGCCAAUGACUUAGGCUUAUUAUUGGCUAACUCUCUCUUGUAAAUCAACCCAUUUUUACUAAUCUGCUUAUCAUAAUGUGGCUGUGGCAGAGGGUGGAAGGGGACAUAUUGAUGGCUCCCUUUGUGCAGGGAUUGGCCAUCUUGUGCAUUCAUUCAGAGGGAUCCGGCCACCAUGCUGACCCCAGGCAGGAUGUGUUAAGCCCAGGACGUGCUUUGGAGAUUUGUAAAUAUGUGGGGCAUGAUGGGCUCGUAGCAGAAGGGUAUUCAAUGAGCAUAAACAGAAGGCCACAGAGGGACUGAUUAAACAAACAACUGCCCCAAUCCAUGGCUGCAGGGACUCAGACUCCUAAAAGUACCCUCCUCCUCUGUGAAGCGUUUGUCUCCCCUGCCCCAGGAAGAGUGCUACAGUCUUCCAUGGUUGCUGUUUCCUAGAAACCUGUGAUGUACCCGGCUGUGUUGUGAGCUGGAAAGUGUAAGCCACUCUCUCAAGCUUGGGGAAAGAGUUUUUGCUUGUGUUUCCACAGAAAGUGGAAAGCUAUGGAUUCCUUCCAGACUAAUAUUGUUUGAUCAAGCAAGACCCCCUGAAGCAGUGGUCCAACUGAUCCUACAUCCAAAAUAGCUGAGAUGAUGCAGCCAUAGAUGACUAUGGCCAGAUUUCUGUGUUUUAACUUGAUCCCCAUGGUAUGGACAUCGCCCCCAACCAGCAGGAAGCAGUUUGGAAUGAAUGACGCCCAAAUUCCCAAAUAUUGUUUAUAAAUGUUUUCAUUUAAAUGGCGUUGGUGAUAAAUGGUAAUGAUCACAGUCAAUCUCUUUUUAAAGGAAAAAAGGGGAAUAGGAUAUAGAAAUGAAUACUUUACAUUGGUAUGGAUUUUCAUUUAUUGAUACAAAUUUAAGGUUAAUUUUGUUAUAUGUAAAUUUCUCCUUUUGUUUGGUAUUAUGUUUAUACUGAUCUUUUAAAAUGUAAUUCAUGAUUAAAUCCAAAUUAUCUAGUCAACUAUAAUAGUCAUAACUUAUAUUUAGGUUAGUUAGGUUUUCUAGAUAUACGAAGAUAUAUUUGAGAUGGAUAAAUAUUCUUCAAACCUUUCAGAGACCCACAGAAUAUAUGGCAUUUAAAUGGUUUAGGGUUUUUCGUGGCAGUGAGACACAAUUGCUCCUGGCACACCAAUUACUUCAAAGAGGAAGAUGGGCAUUGAAGAAACUCGUUAUGGAGUUUGCCUUCAACAUGGCAAGAUUAGCCAUUUGGGUAAGAAACUGCUCUUGCCUGGACUGCUUGUUGCUGAAUAAGCUGGACAUGCAGGACCCACAGGAAAGUGACUGCUGAACUUACAAAACAAGACAGUCCUGAAGGGUUCCUGCUCCAUAGAAGAAUCUGCCAGACAUUCUACAGGACCCACAGAAAAAUGACUAACAAACUGCCAAUGUAGGCGGACAGUUUAAAAUUUCCUGCUUCACUGUGGCCUAUAGGCUAAAGAUGGGUGCCCCAACGUUACCGAGGAACUGUGGGUGACUGUCCAGGUAGCGAGAUGUCUCUGUCAAUUCUAGAGUUUAUAUAUUAUCCUUUGUGGUCUUUGGUGGAGUUGAAGACAGAUUAUUAUGGUUAUAGUUUUCUUUAGUUAUUAUAAAAGAUAAGUUACCCUUCUUUUUAUUUAGACAGAAAAGAGGAGAUGAUGGGGGAGAGGUCCUUCUGUGUGUAUGUUUGUCUUAAUGGUUGAUAAAGAAAGUACUGUUGGCCAAUAGGGAAGCAAGUUAGGCGGGACUAGGAGUUGAGGAGGAUUCUGGGAAAUGUAGUAAAGAGAAAUUUUGUGAUCCAGGCAGGAAGUGACAUAGCAGGCAGACUCAGAAUAUACGUAGGGACAAGCAGGGAAUCACUUGCUUCCUCUUCCUCCUGCUCUCUUCUCUGGAGCCACCAUGUGAGCCUGAAAAGAGAGGAUGCAUGCCGCCAGCAUCCUUGAUCAGAUAAGUCUUUAUAAAAUAUAUAGAUUAAUAAUUAUGAUUGAUACUUAAAACAGAGACAGCAGAUAAGAAAUCCUAGCCAUUGGCCAGCAGCAUUGUAAAUAAUAUUAACCUCUGUGUGUUAUUUUGGGCACCCACGUGGUGGCAGGGCUCAGGCAGCUUGUCGGAAAGACUUAUCAUUACACCGCUCUGUAGCCUGGGUGGUGAGUGCCUUGAUGACAUGGCCACAUUUUAUUCAGCUUGUUUCCCUAAACACAGAUCUCUGAGUCCCAUACAAGGCAUUUGCAUGAUAAAUUCCCUGAGGGAAAGGACAAUUCAGUUGUUGUGUCUUUAUUUAUUAUCACUUCCUUUUUCCACGAUGGCCUCACAGAUGAGUUGUUUUUGCAUUCUUUUCCUGGAAUGUUUUAUGUAUCAUUUCUGAAUGAGUAAAAACAAACAUAGGUUGGAGUGAUGACUCAAAGAUAUCUUGGGGUACUUAGUGCAGACACAUGGCUGCAAUCUAAGAGUUCUGACUGAAUUAAGUGUGCUGGGAUUGACCCACUCUGUGUAACUACAGAGACGUUGCUGUUCAGAGUCUGGAUCCCAGCACCCAUGUUGGGUGGCUCACAACUGCCUGUAACUCCAGUUUCAGGGGAUCUGGUGCUCUCUUCUGGUUUUUGAGACCAUCUGAACAUACAUGUGCACAUACAUGUGAGCACACACAGAUGCAAGCACAUAGAUAAUCUUAAGCACCCCUUGAUAACAUUUGGAAGCACAUGUCCCUGUUAUUCCAGGUUCACACCCUUCAGGGGUUAGGCUAAGCUUUGGUAUCUUUUCCAAGAAUGGUUUGUGGACCUUUCUUUAUUUGUAACUCAUUUCCAAUAGAAUUUACAACUUUGGAAAUCCUCUCCACUUUCACUGUGACUGUUGAUAAAACCACCUUGGAAUCAGCAUUACAAGAAAGGGUAAAAUUAGACUGUCUAUAAAUAUGCUUAAUUUCCCCAGUUGUUAUUUUCAAGAGCUAAAAGAAAACCAAAGAAUUGACUUGAAGGCCAAGAACAAAAGCCCCUGUUUUCAUUUGUGUGGUGUUUGGAUUUCGAAGCUGAUUUUGUUUUUGUUGUAAAUUGUUGGCAGUGGAUUGGCAUUUGGUUUAGUGUAUUUCUUACCCUCAAGUGAUUAUUCAUGGUCCCUUAAAGAGGGAUUUACCAACAAGUAGUUUCAAAAAAACACUGAAUGAUCAAUGAAUAAUCUUCUUGAGAACUUGGCAGAUAUACUUAGAUUUCAUUGUAAGACAGCUCCUUACAAAGAAUUUGAAGACUGUGAACUUUAUAUGCAGAAACGCUUAUAUAUUAGUGACCUGGAGCCAGGAAAAAAACAUCCUAUUAUGUAAAUAUUUUUGCAUGUUUUUGAGGGAUUCUGAAGCUAAUGUAGCAUCUCAAUCAAAUUAUAUUCUUAAUUGGUCUGCAUAAGAAAAAUAGCUCAUUUGUCUCUGGGUCACAGGAUCUUGGGCGGCAGUUCCUCUACUGCCGGCUAGAGCCCUCUGGGGAGAUUUUCAUGCAGCCCGGGCUUGUCUCAGUGUACUUACUGAGAGUGAGGGUUGGCCUCUGCUCCACAGCACCCUAGGUGAUCUUGGGCUCUGUAUAGGAUGACAAUGCCUGCCUGACGCAGUGGCUGUGGGGACUGAGUAAGGACUGUAUGAGGAAAGGGGGUACUUUCAUGGAACACAGAAGAAUAUCUACAACCCAUACUCAGUGUGAAGACAGGGGUCAUAUCCUCUUCCAUGGAGCAGUACAGCCCAGAAUCGUGGGGCAGGGUAAGAUCACCAUGUGGCAGCUGUGAAGAAACCACAGCCUUCAUCUAUGCUGCUUGUUUAGCGUCUGUGUGGUUAUCUAUGCUCUCAGCUCUCAGUAAGUAAGACCAUGUGGUUCAAUCUUAUCAUGGAGCCUGACUCACAGAAAUCUCAAUGGGUCACCUAUUCCCUUGUAGCCAGGGAAGUGUUGGGUUAGCUUGCAUCACAUAUGGGCCACACACCUGAAGGCUUGAACUGAUCACAUUUCUGUCUCUGUGUGACAAAUAUCCUGAUCCGCCCCCAUCAACAUAGAGGAGGAAGAGUUUAUUGAAGCAUACAAUUCCAGGUUGUAGUCCAUCUUUGGGGGAAGUUAAAGGAAGAACUCAAACAGCUAGUCGUAUCACAUCUGUAGCCAAGCAGAGAGAGAUGAACACGUUCACACUGCCUGCUUGCUUCCUCUCAGCAGCUUCCUUCACUCUUUCACAGUUCAGGACUCAGCCUAGGGAAUGAUGCUACCCACAGUGGGCCGGGUCAAUUAAUAAUAAUCAAGACAAUCCCAAAUUGACAUUGACAAGAGGCUAACCUGAUAUGGACAAUUCCUCAACUGAGACACACACACACACACACACACACACACACACACACACACACUCUCUCUCUCUCUCUCUCUCUCUGGUUCUAGAUUAUGGAAAAAUGUCAUUUAAAACCAACCAUCAGAAGGCCCAUUCACACAGGGUUCCUGACACUCACACAAAUCUCAUUGACUCAAGUCUAGUUGAAGGGACAGUGACGAUGGUUGUUGCCCACUGCUACUGACAUCAGAAUGACUUCACUGCCACAAGAUCUAGCCAGGAGAAAAAAAUCAACGUGGCCUGUGCUCACAUGAACACAGUUUUCAUUUCCAGAGGCAGUGGCGGAGGAUAUAUCUAUCUUAUUUGAAGUGCAGCCACCCCAAGGGGCCAUUUAGGAUGAACUGUAGGGCACCCCCUGUGGUAUUGUGUCUAAGGCUCAUGUCCUGGCAGAUGUGAGCUCUCUUCCUCUGAAUCCCCCCAGGACUGAGCACCUUUCUCUGGCAUUUUGCCUGGUUGUCUUUGUGGGCCUUGUUGACGCAUAACUUAGGGGAAAUUCUCUCAAGAACACAGGAUAUAAGCAUUGGGAUCUGGAGCUUAAGAUCCAUUUCUCUCUUUGCCCCAGACCAGGGCCAGACACAACAGGACACUGUUGUUUGCUGUCACACUUCUCCCAGGCAGAGUCCAACAAAAUAAGCAGGUAGUAGCAGCCGGCCUCUUAAGAAUGGAAAACAGCAGAGAAUGAUUUUACUGGGAAAGAUCGGGAAGAAAGCUCUGGAGACCAGGAUUCAGUGAAUGCAUCAUGGGGAGCAGCCAUCAGCUCUGAUGCAGUGGCCUCAGUGACAGGACACCAAGGAUGACCUCUGAUGCGUUUCCAUCCUAGAGCUGCUAUCAGCGGACAAAAUGCUCUAGGCUUCUGCCAUGGUCAGAAUUGCUUUCUCUGACUGGGGCAGAGUUAGUCAUUUCUCAUUGCUGUACCAAAUGAAUAAAGAAACACAUAUUUUGGCUCACGGUUUUGGAGGUUUGACCCAGGGCCAGCUGACUCCAAUGCUGUGGGCCUGGGGCGGAGCUGAGCAGUAGAGGCCAGAACAUAGAGUGAAGAAAAACAGCCCAGCUCAUGGUGGACAGGAGAGAGAGAGCAGGGUGGCGUGAGGGAAGCUCCCAGGAGGCAUCACAGCUCCCAAUCCUGGAGGGGGUCUCCCCGAGCAGCCUUACCACGCCCACCACAAACAGGCGGCUGCACUUCCCACAGCACCUCAAGGAGACAGAGACUAUUGAUUUGUAGAGAGAAGAGCAAAGCCGUUUAUUGAAUGUGAACCACGUGCCUGGUUAAAUACUUCCUUCCUGCAGUCACUUCAGACCUUCAACAACCGACCGUCUCAUGUAAGAGGAGGGGUGGCUGGCUUUCCCGGCGCAGUGAAGAAGCUUGAAGGAAGGAGACAGGGGCUGGAGAGAUGGCUCAGUGGUUGAGAGCAAUGACUGCUCUUCCAGAGGUUCUGGGUUCAAAUCCCAGCACCCACGUGACAGUUUAAAACUGUCUGUAACUCUGGUUUCAGGAUCUGAAGUCUUCACACCAAUGUACAUAAAACAAAGGUAGAAUCCCAGCACCCCACUUCCUUCCUGCAACCAGUAAAGAGCCCUAGCCUCAUACCAGGCUUCAGACCCAGAAGGACCAUACACGAAGCAGACGCAAUGUUCCUCCCCCGACUGACUGUAUUUUCCUGGGACCCUGUCUGAGUUGGGCAUUGGCUCUAUCAUCCUCAGACUGAUAAAACCCUGACAAGCUGAAAUCACCUGUCUACAGUUGGUAGACUGUUGGGUUUAAUGCACCUGCUAACCCAAUGGUGCUAUGAUACUUCCCACUUCUUUGCAGAAAAUAAAAAAAAAAAAAAUGUAGAAACGGUCAAUCAUGGAAGCCAUGGCAGGAAGAGUACAUGUUCAAGUUCAGCCUGCACUGCAUAACAAGCUAUGGACCAACUCAUGUCACAGAAUCAAAAUAAAACUGAGAUGUAAUCCAGUGGAAGAAUGCUUGCUUAUCUUGAAAAGCAAGGCCCAGGGACUGAUCUCCGCCGUCACCACAAGUGGCCAAUCAUUUGUUCUGCUGUACCUGGGGCACCGGCGGUGUUCACAGCUGGGCAGACUUACAGUGGGAAAACCACACUCCCCUUCUCCGUGAAGUGUAGAAAAUCACAAAGAUUGGACAAUGCAGGCUUGUUCAGCCAGGGGGACGAGGUUCAGUGUCCAAGGUGUGCGACCUCUCCAGGCGUGUCUGACAAAUGAUUGCAAGGGUUUAGGGAAGUUUUGAGCUGUUGUUACACACACACACACACACACACACACACACACACACACACACACACACACACAGGAGGGUGGGUCAGCUCUGUAAUUAACUGGCAAUGUUAUACAUGUUUAAAAGCCCAAACCUUGGUUGUGAUUCAUCUUCUCAUAAACAGAGCACAGAGAAGCCUUGUUGGAUUGCAAUGUGAACUUACUACAUCUUGAACCAUUUAAGCAUUUACCAAUCAAUUAGAAGGACACAUUUAAAAAGUUGAUCAAACUCACAAAUAAACUUUCUUUAUAUGGUG